UACGGAGGGGACUAGCGUUGUUCGGAAUUACUGGGCGUAAAGCGCACGUAGGCGGAUUUGUAAGUCAGGGGUGAAAUCCCGGGGCUCAACCUCGGAACUGCCUUUGAUACUGCAAAUCUCGAGUCCGGAAGAGGUGAGUGGAAUUCCUAGUGUAGAGGUGAAAUUCGUAGAUAUUCGCAAGAACACCAGUGGCGAAGGCGGCUCACUGGCCCGAUACUGACGCUGAGGCACGAAAGCGUGGGGAGCAACAG
rnacentral:rRNA from 1 species